rnacentral:tRNA from 1 species
GGGGGCGUUAGCUCAGUUGGUAGAGCAGUUGACUUUUAAUCAAUUGGUCGCAGGUUCGAAUCCUGCACGCCCCCACC